rnacentral:rRNA from 1 species
UUUAACUGAAGAGUUUGAUCAUGGCUCAGAUUGAACGCUGGCGGCAGGCUUAACACAUGCAAGUCGAGCGGGGGAAGGUAGCUUGCUACUGGACCUAGCGGCGGACGGGUGAGUAAUGCUUAGGAAUCUGCCUAUUAGUGGGGGACAACAUCUCGAAAGGGAUGCUAAUACCGCAUACGUCCUACGGGAGAAAGCAGGGGAUCUUCGGACCUUGCGCUAAUAGAUGAGCCUAAGUCGGAUUAGCUAGUUGGUGGGGUAAAGGCCUACCAAGGCGACGAUCUGUAGCGGGUCUGAGAGGAUGAUCCGCCACACUGGGACUGAGACACGGCCCAGACUCCUACGGGAGGCAGCAGUGGGGAAUAUUGGACAAUGGGGGGAACCCUGAUCCAGCCAUGCCGCGUGUGUGAAGAAGGCCUUAUGGUUGUAAAGCACUUUAAGCGAGGAGGAGGCUACUUUAGUUAAUACCUAGAGAUAGUGGACGUUACUCGCAGAAUAAGCACCGGCUAACUCUGUGCCAGCAGCCGCGGUAAUACAGAGGGUGCGAGCGUUAAUCGGAUUUACUGGGCGUAAAGCGUGCGUAGGCGGCUUAUUAAGUCGGAUGUGAAAUCCCCGAGCUUAACUUGGGAAUUGCAUUCGAUACUGGUGAGCUAGAGUAUGGGAGAGGAUGGUAGAAUUCCAGGUGUAGCGGUGAAAUGCGUAGAGAUCUGGAGGAAUACCGAUGGCGAAGGCAGCCAUCUGGCCUAAUACUGACGCUGAGGUACGA